rnacentral:rRNA from 1 species
GACGAACGCUGGCGGCGUGCCUAAUACAUGCAAGUUGAGCGAUGAAGCUUGGUGCUUGCACCAAUUUGAAGAGCAGCGAACGGGUGAGUAACGCGUGGGGAAUCUGCCUUUGAGCGGGGGACAACAUUUGGAAACGAAUGCUAAUACCGCAUAACAACUUUAAACAUAAGUUUUAAGUUUGAAAGAUGCAAUUGCAUCACUCAAAGAUGAUCCCGCGUUGUAUUAGCUAGUUGGUGAGGUAAAGGCUCACCAAGGCGAUGAUACAUAGCCGACCUGAGAGGGGGGUCGGCCACAUUGGGACUGGGACACGGCCCAAACUCCUUCGGGAAGCAGCAGUAGGGAAUCUUUGGCCAUGGACGAAAGUCUUACCGAGCAACGCCGGGUGAGUGAAGAAGGGUUUCGGAUCGUAAAACUCUGUUGGUAGAGAAGAACGUUGGUGAGAGUGGAAAGCUCAUCAAGUGACGGUAACUACCCAGAAAGGGACGGCUAACUACGUG